AACCUAGCACACCUGCGGUGUGUACCUGCGGAGGGAUCAUUACCGAGUUUACAACUCCCAAACCCCUGUGAACAUACCACUUGUUGCCUCGGCGGAUCAGCCCGCUCCCGGUAAAACGGGACGGCCCGCCAGAGGACCCCUAAACUCUGUUUCUAUAUGUAACUUCUGAGUAAAACCAUAAAUAAAUCAAAACUUUUAGCAACGGAUCU
rnacentral:misc_RNA from 1 species